rnacentral:rRNA from 1 species
GACGAACGCUGGCGGCGUGCCUAAUACAUGCAAGUAGAACGCUGAAGAGAGGAGCUUGCUCUUCUUGGCUGAGUUGCGAACGGGUGAGUAACGCGUAGGUAACCUGCCUGGUAGCGGGGGAUAACUAUUGGAAACGAUAGCUAAUACCGCAUAAAAUGGAUUAUCGCAUGAUAAUCCAUUGAAAGGUGCAAAUGCAUCACUACCAGAUGGACCUGCGUUGUAUUAGCUAGUUGGUGGGGUAACGGCUCACCAAGGCGACGAUACAUAGCCGACCUGAGAGGGUGAUCGGCCACACUGGGACUGAGACACGGCCCAGACUCCUACGGGAGGCAGCAGUAGGGAAUCUUCGGCAAUGGACGGAAGUCUGACCGAGCAACGCCGCGUGAGUGAAGAAGGGUUUCGGAUCGUAAAGCUCUGUUGUAAGAGAAGAACGAGUGUGAGAGUGGAAAGUUCACACUGUGACGGUAUCUUACCAGAAAGGGACGGCUAACUACGUG